rnacentral:lncRNA from 1 species
UUGGCUAUCCAAUCGAACUGCCCAAUCUUAGAAAAAAUAAUCCUACUUACCAUCAAUUGAUUGGCCUUAUGGAAAUCAAAGUUCUCCACAUCAUCUCUCUCUAAAAUGCAUCUCAAUCCAUUAAAAUCAUUCUACAAAGAGGGGUAGUAAAUACCAACCCUAGGCAUUUCUAAUAGAUGGGCUAGUCUUCUUUGACUUAACAUAACCUCAAUAUUCUUCAUGAUUGAAUGCACGGAGCCUGUACACACUUCAAAUUUUGAAAGAAUUCUCUAACG